CACGUAGUUGGCCGGUGCUUCUUCUGUACCUACCGUCACUUGCGCUUCGUCGGUACUGAAAGAGGUUUACAACCCGAAGGCCGUCAUCCCUCACGCGGCGUUGCUGGAUCAGGCUUCCGCCCAUUGUCCAAUAUUCCCCACUGCUGCCUCCCGUAGGAGUCUGGGCCGUGUCUCAGUCCCAGUGUGACCGGUCACCCUCUCAGGCCGGCUACCCGUCGAAGCCAUGGUGAGCCAUUACCUCACCAUCAAGCUGAUAGGCCGCGAGCACAUCCCUGGCCGAAAAACUUUCCACCACCAAACAUGCGUAAAGUGGUCAUAUCCGGUAUUAAUCACCGUUUCCGGUGGCUAUCCCAAAGCCAGGGGCAGAUUACUCACGUGUUACUCACCCGUUCGCCGCUCGAGUACCCCGAAGGGCCUUUCCGCUCGACUUGCAUGUGUUAAGCACGCCGCCAGCGUUCGUCCUGAGCCAGGAUCAAACUCU
rnacentral:rRNA from 1 species